GGUUCUAUAGUGUAGAGGUUAUCACGUCUGCUUUACACGCAGAAGGUCCUGGGCUCGAUACCCAGUGGAACCA
rnacentral:tRNA from 1 species